rnacentral:rRNA from 1 species
CAGAAGAAGUCCCGGCUAACUUCGUGCCAGCAGCCGCGGUAAUACGAAGGGGGCUAGCGUUACUCGGAAUUAUUGGGCGUAAAGCGUGCGUAGGCUGCUUAGUAAGUCAAAAGUGAAAGCCUUGGGCUCAACCUAAGAAUUGCUUUUGAAACUACCAAGCUUGAGUACUGUAGGGGAUAGCGGAAUUCCUAGUGUAGGGGUGAAAUUCGUAGAUAUUAGGAGGAACACCGGAGGCGAAAGCGGUUAUCUGGACAGUUACUGACGCUGUUGCACGAAAGCGUGGGGAGCAAACAGGAUUAGAUACCCUGGUAGUCCACGCUGUAAACGAUG